rnacentral:rRNA from 1 species
AUUGAACGCUGGCGGCAAGCCUAACACAUGCAAGUCGAACGAGUGGCGGACGGGUGAGUAAUGUCUGGGAAACUGCCUGAUGGAGGGGGAUAACUACUGGAAACGGUAGCUAAUACCGCAUACCAUCGGAUGUGCCCAGAUGGGAUUAGCUAGUAGGUGGGGUAAAGGCUCACCUAGGCGACGAGCCCUAGCUGGUCGGAGAGGAGGACCAGCCACACUGGAACUGAGACACGGUCCAGACUCCGACGGGAGGCAGCGGUGGGGAAUAUUGGACAAUGGGCGAAAGCCUUAUGCAGCCAUGCCGCGUGUAUGAAGAAGGCCUUCGGGUUGUAAAGUACUUUUAGCGGGGAGGCGUUACCUGCAGAAUAAGCACCGGCUAACUCCGUGCCAGCAGCCGCGGUAAUAC